rnacentral:rRNA from 1 species
CUACGGGAGGCAGCAGUGGGGAAUAUUGGACAAUGGGCGCAAGCCUGAUCCAGCCAUGCCGCGUGAGUGAUGAAGGCCUUAGGGUUGUAAAGCUCUUUCGCCGGUGAAGAUAAUGACGGUAACCGGAGAAGAAGCCCCGGCUAACUUCGUGCCAGCAGCCGCGGUAAUACGAAGGGGGCAAGCGUUGCUCGGAAUCACUGGGCGUAAAGCGCACGUAGGCGGGUCGUUAAGUCAGAGGUGAAAGCCUGGAGCUCAACUCCAGAACUGCCUUUGAUACUGGCGACCUCGAGUUCGAGAGAGGUUGGUGGAACUCCGAGUGUAGAGGUGAAAUUCGUAGAUAUUCGGAAGAACACCAGUGGCGAAGGCGGCCAACUGGCUCGAUACUGACGCUGAGGUGCGAAAGCGUAGGGAGCAAACAGGAUUAGAUACCCUAGUAGUCC